CUAAACUGGCGCCGCCUCGGUGCUCGCGCGCUUCGCGCGCGGUUAAACGGGAAGCAGGGCGCGACGUCCGCCAGGGCCGAGCCAACCUGCGCUGCCCCCGCAACGGUAAGCGAUCGCAUCGGAGCCGAUCCGAUGCCAGCCGCACUCUCGAUGCGCCGGCACGGCCGCGAUGGCCGGCCGCCGGCGCGGUGCCACUGCGCUUCGCGCGCGGGAAGGCGAGGCGGUGACGUCGCGAGCCCGGAUACCGGCCGAGGCGGGGAGGCGGAC
rnacentral:ncRNA from 2 species